CUUUUUAAACGAAAAUUUUUGUUUCAAAUUUAGGAUUUGAAUUAGCUUAUCUAUAAGCAAAAAGU
rnacentral:tRNA from 1 species